rnacentral:rRNA from 1 species
CAGUAGCCACGGUAAUACGUAGGUGGCAAGCGUUAUCCGGAAUUAUUGGGCGUAAAGCGCGCGUAGGCGGUUUUUUAAGUCUGAUGUGAAAGCCCACGGCUCAACCGUGGAGGGUCAUUGGAAACUGGAAAACUUGAGUGCAGAAGAGGAAAGUGGAAUUCCAUGUGUAGCGGUGAAAUGCGCAGAGAUAUGGAGGAACACCAGUGGCGAAGGCGACUUUCUGGUCUGUAACUGACGCUGAUGUGCGAAAGCGUGGGGAGCAAACAGGAUUAGAUACCCCUGUAGUCCCUGUCUCUUAUAC